UAAGAUGAGUUUUCUACAUGAAAAGCCGUAAAACAAAACAAAACACAAAAGUAAACAAACAAACAUGGAAAAUAUGAUGGAAGUACCUGUAUCUUCAAAAAUUCUUCUCCUGAGAACAAAAGGAACAAUGUCAACUUGUUGCUUUAUUAAAUUUGAAUGGGAAUAAAUAUAAUAAAACUUUUUAGCUGGAAAGACAACAAAUAUUUUAUGAAAAAAAAAUUAAAAUUUUGGUCUCCAUAAGAUAUUUGAUGCUAGUAGUUGCAUGCACUUUGAUUGCUUUCCAUGAAAUAUUUUUGUUAAUAAUUAUCCCUACAAAAUAGCAUUACACUUUUUUUCAGAACAAAAUUUUUUUCAGCUACAAAGACAACAAAAUACAAAAUAUAUAUUGUUAUUGUUUGGUUUAGAUUGCUUGAUGAGAAUGUUUGGUUCCACAUCCCUUGUUCUGCAUCUAUCUCAGUUGUAAAUACUCCUGCCAUUCAUUCAUUAAUCAAUUGGGACAAUAAUAAUAAUAAUUGAAACCAUAUAAAAAAAAUCAUAAUAGUUGCGUAAGAUGAAUGAAAAAGAAAACAUAAAAGUAAAACAAACAUGGAGAAUAUGAUGGAAGUACCUGUAUCUUCUUCAAAAACUUCUUUACUCGUGUUUUAUACACAACUACCAACUAACAUGAGAAAAAUUUGUUCCUUUGAGUUGUGAUAAAUAAAGAUGUGGGCAGCAGAGAUUAUAAAUAUGAGAAAAUAGAGAACAAAUGAGGAAAAAAGAAGAAAAAA
rnacentral:lncRNA from 1 species